GCAUGAAAUCCGUGUAUGGAGGCAGACGGCCCAGCGUAUUAGCCCGGCCAGCAGAGAGGAGACAGCUGUCAAGUGUCUACUGAUGCAGAAGGUCCUCAACCUGGAGAGCGUGCUCCGCAAGCAACUCAAAACCUUCCAGAGACAGAUUUCUCAGGAAGAUAAGAACUGGGAGAAUAACAUUCAGGAGUUGCAUAAAAAGAACAGAAUAACAGACCGAGUCCUCCUGGUGAAGUGUAUAUCUGUGCUGGGGGUCGUCAUCUUCAUGUUCUUUCUGAACUCCUUUGUUCCCAGCAUUCAUCUGGAGCUGGGU